AGAGGAAAGCAAGAAAGCCUGGGACAAACAGCGAUUCAGGAGAUGGUCUUCAAAGUCCUUCAGAAGGAAGACCAUGCAAACUGAAGGACACUACCAAGACUCUUAGAUUUCUUCUUCUCUGUUCUAGAUUUUUUUUAGCUGUUUCCCCUAUUUUCAGAGGAAAACAAAAAAGCCUGUGACAAACAGCAAUCCAGGAGAUGGUCUUCAAAAUCUUCCAGAAGGAAGAUCAUGCAAACUGAAGAACACUACCAAAACUCCUAACAAGACCACUACAGCAUUCAGAGUUUGCAUGCCAUUGCUGCUGUGUUUCAGUUGAAGUAGAGUGGAGAAAUGAAUGUCCCAGUGCCCUGGAAUAAAAACCUUUACAGCCUUGCUAUCAUGUAUUGACUUUAUUCUGCUCAUACAUUGUUGGCAGACCUAAGUUAAACAUUUACAGAGAAGCAAAGAUCUGUUGCAUUGAAUAAAUUUGCUAAUGCAAGACUGAAAAUCCAGAUGGUGAAGAUAUUGACAAGGAGAUUCAGAAAACUCUUUUUGCUAAAAUCAAGUGAGCAGUUGGAUUUUUUCAAGUCAGACAUGGCAGCCUUAACUAAGUGAAGUGUCAACAAGAACAUCAUUUCAAUUAAUUGCCUAAUGUAGCAUCAUUUCUGUGUUUAUCCUGACUUAAAGAGGCAGACGGGAUUGAUUAGGAGGCACAAAAUAGUAGUUUGGAGGCAGUCUGCAGCUCUGUGGCUCAGAAAUCUCCUCCAAAAGAUAGCAUGGCCUUUGUUUUUAGAAACAGAACAAUUUGAAAGUUUCUCACAGAACCCCAUUAAGUACUUUUGGAAUUCAGAGUCACACAGAAUGUAUUUUGAAAAAAACCCUCCAUAAAUGCAUUGCAUUUUCCACUGUACCAUAAAUGAGUUAUGGCAAUGUAAUACAUUCUGAAAUACACAACCAGAAGAGUCGGCUUGCCUGUCUUACCUCAUAGAUUUGGAAAUGUAGGACUUCCUUCAUGGUGUGUCUCUAACAGUUCAAUAAAUGCCUUUGGUAAAGUAACCAAAAGAAUGCUUCCUUUCUUAACUGGAAAACUUGAGGGAAUUUCAAAGUAUGUGUCUCUCUGUAUAUUGGUAAACAUGUAUAUAUGUAAAUGUGUACAUAUCUUGAUUAAUUAGAAAACUUAGCACAGUCCAGUGAAGAUUCCUAAUACUGCAUUUAAUAUAUUCGAAGGAGUGCAACUACUUCUUCCAUGUUUAAUUCAGUUAUGCUGUUGAACAUAUGUGAGAGAAUAGGUUGUCUGUUUUUUUUGUUUUUUUUUUACUAAUUUUGGAACAUACCAGUUCUGUAAGUGCCAAGAGAGAUAUACAUUUAUUCCGUACAACAGUCCUUUAGAAGUUAAAACACAUAAGCUGUUUGUUUUUGACUAGCUAUUGAGAAGAUAAACAAAAAUGUUUGUCUUAUAUUGCCAAUUAU